GGAGCGGUCUGUUGUUG
rnacentral:miRNA from 1 species